ensembl:lncRNA novel transcript
AAAAUACCUACUCUGAAAGAGACUCUCUGUAUAGCUCUGCCCUCCUGAAUUGCAUGUCCAAAUUGCAUUGGAAAAAAAUGAGGAAAAAUUCUGGACUCCCAAGGUAGUAGUUGGAAAAGGGAGGGCUUCAUAAGCCCCCCAGAAGUGUCUUGUGGACCCCCUGAAAAUGCUUCCAGAUCCCCAGUCCUCAGAUCACACCUUGGGAACUACUGUCUGUCACCCUACAGUAAGGGAGGAAACAACAGCAGAACUUCAUGUUAGCUCAGACCAGCUGCAGAUGCUCAUCUGAACUUUGAGAAUGGUCAAAUAAAAGUAAAACCUGAUGGAACACCA